AUGCCAAGUUUGGAUACCGGGUGAAUUAGGGGUGAGCCGAUCAAUCUAGACCGUAGGAUGUGGCUUAGGUUUUUCCUUUUAACUCCUACCGAGCCUUUUUCUCGGACUCUUAUUCCUGCAGUGCCGCCACCUCCGUUCUCCUCGUCUCUCAUCGCCAUCUAGCUCCUGUCCUACCACCGUCAAACAGCUCGCCGCCCAGCAGCUCGGCGCCCUGGUGGUGCUGCCGAUGUCCUGCCCCCAACCUGCGACUGGCUGUGCUGCGCUUCUAGGAUUGCUACCAGUGGGCAGCGUGGGGAAGGGAAUUUGGGAACGAAGAAGGAAAGAGGAAGGUUUGCACAGUUCCAGGGUCGAGAGUGAUACGCCGGGUUCUCGUCGAGGUUAAGGCAAGUGCAUGACGAACUGUUGUUGGCAAGUUGCUUGCCAUCUCUUUUCUUAUGAUUUCUGAUUGUUUCACCAUGUGUUUAUGAUAUUCAAGUCCAUGAUUUGUUCAUGUUUCAUGAUUCUAGUUUCAAGUUAUUCCUUUAAAUUCCAUUCAUGUUCCGGUGAAUUCGGAUGUGCAAUUUGGUUCUUUUAUUCAUGUUCCUGUGAGUAAGUGCUGGCCCCACUUGCUCGGCUUUACCGGUAAAUGCUAAGGAUGUUUCAAGUUGUGUCCGUUUCAACAGAAACUACUAUUUCAUGGUUAUUCGUUCGUUCAUGGUUCAUGUAUGUUCUUUUCGGUUCUAAUUGUACUUACUGAGUAUUGUUACUCACUCUUGUGUUUAUUUGG